ACCCGCGUCCGCCGGCCGCCUCCGCUGCCGCUUCGCCUCAGUCAGAUUCUUUUGGUCCGGCUUGACCUGGCCUGGCCGGCCUGAGCUCUGCGGCCGCGAGGUCGCGGCUCCCGAUGGAAAUCCUAUGACACAGACAAUUUGGGUGAUACCUGCAGGAAAGAGCUUUAAACAUUACAGAAGACAAAAAACACUAAUGCAUUUGAGAAAACGAUAAAAGUUGGGGGGGAGGAGAAAAAGCAACUGCUUUCCUGAUCUGCAACUUGACUGGAUGUUAAGAUGUCCGUGGACAUGAACAGCCAAGGGUCUGACAGCAAUGAAGAGGACUAUGACCCAAAUUGUGAGGAAGAGGAAGAAGAGGAAGAGGACCCUGGGGACAUAGAGGACUACUAUGUGGGAGUAGCCAGCGAUGUGGAGCAGCAGGGGGCUGAUGCUUUUGAUCCCGAAGAGUAUCAAUUCACUUGCUUGACCUAUAAGGAGUCUGAGGGCGCCCUCCAUGAGCAUAUGACCAGCUUAGCCUCUGCCUUAAAGGUAUCUCAUUCAGUUGCAAAGCUUAUAUUAGUUAAUUUCCACUGGCAAGUCUCAGAGAUUCUGGACAGGUACAGGUCUAAUUCUGCUCAGCUGCUUGUUGAGGCGCGAGUCCAACCUAAUCUAUCCAAACACGUCCCCACAGCCCACCCCCCUCACCACUGUGCAGUGUGUAUGCAGUUUGUGCGGAAGGAAAAUCUGCUCUGUCUGACCUGCCAGCAUCAGUUUUGCCGAAGCUGUUGGGAGCAGCAUUGCUCAGUCCUCGUCAAAGAUGGUGUCGGUGUAGGAAUCUCAUGUAUGGCUCAGGAUUGUCCACUUCGAACACCAGAGGACUUUGUGUUUCCCUUGCUUCCCAACGAAGAGUUGAGAGAUAAAUACAGGCGCUACCUCUUUAGGGACUAUGUGGAGAGUCAUUACCAGCUCCAGCUAUGCCCUGGUGCAGACUGCCCCAUGGUUAUUCGGGUACAGGAGCCGAGAGCUCGCCGAGUGCAGUGCAAUCGGUGCAACGAGGUCUUCUGUUUCAAGUGUCGACAGAUGUAUCACGCCCCCACAGACUGCGCCACAAUCCGGAAAUGGCUCACCAAGUGUGCGGAUGACUCCGAAACAGCUAACUACAUUAGUGCUCACACUAAAGACUGUCCCAAGUGCAACAUCUGUAUCGAGAAGAAUGGAGGCUGCAAUCACAUGCAAUGCUCCAAGUGUAAGCAUGACUUCUGCUGGAUGUGUCUAGGAGACUGGAAGACGCAUGGUAGUGAGUACUAUGAAUGUAGUCGGUACAAGGAGAAUCCUGACAUUGUCAACCAGAGCCAGCAAGCACAGGCCAGGGAAGCCCUCAAGAAGUACUUGUUCUACUUUGAGAGGUGGGAAAAUCACAACAAAAGCUUGCAGCUGGAGGCACAAACAUACCAGCGGAUUCACGAGAAGAUUCAAGAGAGGGUUAUGAACAAUCUGGGAACGUGGAUUGACUGGCAGUACCUGCAGAAUGCCGCCAAGCUGUUGGCCAAGUGUCGAUACACCCUGCAAUAUACCUAUCCAUAUGCAUACUACAUGGAAUCCGGUCCCAGGAAGAAGCUGGCCCUGCCCGGCUACAGCCCUCUCUCCUUUUGACCCUCCUGCUCUGCCCAUACAGUUUGAAUACCAGCAGGCUCAGCUGGAGGCUGAGAUCGAAAACCUUUCAUGGAAAGUUGAGCGUGCAGACAGCUAUGACAGAGGGGACUUGGAAAACCAGAUGCACAUAGCAGAGCAGCGGAGAAGAACCCUGCUAAAGGAUUUUCACGACACCUAAACCAGGCUGUGGACGUGCCGGGGUGAGGAAGAUGUAGCUGUGAGGCCACCCGGCUACCGAACUGCAUGCUGCAGGCUCUGCCUUUCACGACCCAGGCAACAGCCAGGGCCCCACUCCUGAAAGACACUGGCAACACACCUCUUAGUCCAUUUGUUUUCUUCUCAUCUUUUUGCUUUUUGUUUCUACCAGGGAAGAGGCCAUGUUGAGCUGGCCUCUAGUGAGGACUUUAAAUUUCCCCUGGAUGGUUGUUGGGCGGGAGGGAACUUUUUUUCUGAAUGGCUAUUAAUAGUAUUAGAUCAUUACAACUUAUGUAAUUUUCAAAGGUUGUACGAUUAUAAAGAAAAGAGGCAAACCAUAGGUAACACGGAGCCCGUCUAAAAUAAAUUGGCUUUGGAGUGCUUCACCCUUUA